rnacentral:rRNA from 1 species
GAUGAACGCUGGCGGCGUGCCUAAUACAUGCAAGUCGAGCGAACAGACGAGGAGCUUGCUCCUCUGACGUUAGCGGCGGAAGGGUGAGUAACACGUGGAUAACCUACCUAUAAGACUGGGAUAACUUCGGGAAACCGGAGCUAAUACCGGAUAAUAUAUUGAACCGCAUGGUUCAAUAGUGAAAGACGGUGUUGCUGUCACUUAUAGAUGGAUCCGCGCCGCAUUAGCGAGUUGGUAAGGUAACGGCUUACCAAGGCAACGAUGCGUAGCCGACCUGAGAUGCUGAGCGGCCACACUGGAACUGCGCCACAGUCCAGACUCCUACGGGAGGCCGCAGUAGCGAAUCUUCCGCAAUGGGCGAAAGCCUGACGGAGCAACGCCGCGUGAGUGAUGAAGGUCUUCGGAUCGUAAAACUCUGUUAUUAGUGAAGAACAAAUGUGUAAGUAACUAUGCACGUCUUGACGGUACCUAAUCAGAAAGCCCCGGCUAACUACGUG